rnacentral:rRNA from 1 species
UACGGAGGAUCCGAGCGUUCUCCGGAUUUAUUGGGUUUAAAGGGUGCGUAGGCGGGAUAAUAAGUCAGUGGUGAAAGUUUGCAGCUUAACUGUAAAAUUGCCGUUGAAACUGUUGUUCUUGAGUGUAGAAGAGGUAGGCGGAAUGUGUUGUGUAGCGGUGAAAUGCAUAGAUAUAACACAGAACCCCGAUUGCGAAGGCAGCUUACCGGACUACCACUGACGCUGAUGCACGAAAGCGUGGGGAU